AUGCGAAGCAAUCCUGUAAUCUGCAGCUCCAUGACAGCCCUGCAAAACCUUGCUCUGUACAGCAUUAAGUUAAGGACUUAAAACAGUUCCAUCGGGUUUUCCAUGUUUUAAGUCCAUCCACGAACACAAUAACAUACACGUUAUGAAAGACUAUCUGUGACAAGUCAUCAAAGGGAAAUUCGAACUUUGUCAUUUGAAUUCUUCUAUUCUUUUGAUUUCUAUUUUUUAUUCCAAGCUUGUAAAGAUCUAUUAGCGGGCAUCCCAUUAUUUGAUCAAUUUUUUCAUCAGGUAAUCAUAUUUGAUCUAGUAACUGAUGUAUUACAUAUCAAACAAACAAUACAAUUCAAAACUUCAAACUAAUGCAAUUUUCUCCUCUUUCUGCUAGUAACACAAAUCAAACUUAACGUUUUGAUCAACAUAAAAUCCUAUUGUUUAAGAAAGAAGCCUAUAAGAUGCAGAACGAGAAACUUUUGCCAUCCCUGAAAACUACGAGAAGUUCCUGGAUGAACCCAUGUGGGAGGAGACAACACCUAAUCAAUUGAUUUGCGAUACUAUACAUAUACACAGGCAAACAAGGAACUUCAUAGAAUUUACCCAGAAUUACUUUGAACAGAAGACGAGUAUUACUAGAAUUCAGGAGAAAGGAAGAUGAAGCUCUCUCAUCAUAAUGUGACGGGACCGUAACUCAAACACGACGAUCUGUCCGGCCUAGCGAACUUUCAAUGCCAAAG
rnacentral:lncRNA from 1 species